UCCCAGGACCAAAUGCUCAUGCUACUGAG
rnacentral:piRNA from 1 species